GAUGAACGCUGGCGGCGUGCCUAAUACAUGCAAGUCGAGCGAACAGACGAGGAGCUUGCUCCUUCGACGUUAGCGGCGGACGGGUGAGUAACACGUAGGUAACCUACCUAUAAGACUGGGAUAACUUCGGGAAACCGGAGCUAAUACCUGAUAAUAUUUCGAACCGCAUGGUUCGAUAGUGAAAGAUGGCUUUGCUAUCACUUAUAGAUGGACCUGCGCCGUAUUAGCUAGUUGGUAAGGUAACGGCUUACCAAGGCAACGAUACGUAGCCGACCUGAGAGGGUGAUCGGCCACACUGGAACUGAGACACGGUCCAGACUCCUACGGGAGGCAGCAGUAGGGAAUCUUCCGCAAUGGGCGAAAGCCUGACGGAGCAACGCCGCGUGAGUGAUGAAGGUCUUCGGAUCGUAAAACUCUGUUAUUAGGGAAGAACAAACGUGUAAGUAACUGUGCACGUCUUGACGGUACCUAAUCAGAAAGCCACGGCUAACUACGUG
rnacentral:rRNA from 1 species